rnacentral:rRNA from 1 species
GCGCAAUCAAUUGCCCCCUAAUUAGGGGCCAGUAUGAACGGACAAACGAGAGCCCACCUGUCUCUUCUUCACCCCUAAAACCCUAUCUUCAGGUGAAAAAGCCUGAAUCCCUAUAAAAGACAAGAAGUCCCCGUCGAGCUUCAAUCCACCAAGCCCUUCCAAUCCCCCAGCAUACCCCCCGCUUCCACCGAUUUUUGUUGGGGCAACAAAGGGCCCUCCACCACCCUCUAAACACCCGACCCCCAGUCCCCCCACAGACCCUCCCACGACCUCAGACACCAG